rnacentral:rRNA from 1 species
CAAUAGCGUAUAUUAAAGUUGUUGCAGUUAAAAGCUCGUAGUUGAAUUUUUGCUUGCCGCCGAUGUCGGAACUUCCGUACGUUCGGCGGCGUGCAUCCUUGGGUGGAACCUGUGUGGCAUUAGGUUGUCGUGCAGGGGAUGCUCAUCGUUUACUGUGAAAAAAUUAGAGUGUUCAAAGCAGGCUUACGCCGUUGAAUAUAUUAGCAUGGAAUAAUAAGAUAGGACCUUGGUACUAUUUUGUUGGUUUGCGCACCGAGGUAAUGAUUAACAGGGACAGUUGGGGGUAUUCGUAUUCCAUUGUCAGAGGUGAAAUUCUUGGAUUUCUGGAAGACGAACUACUGCGAAAGCAUUUACCAAGGAUGUUUUCAUUAA